ensembl:lncRNA
AGGUAAUUCGCCCAUGUGGGUCAGCACACAGAACAGUCCCUAAAGGAAGUAUCAGGGAGACAAUAGAAUAGGAUCAGCUGCCACAACAAAGCUGUGGUUCACAACAUUCCGUGGAAAAAUGUACUAACCCUGGAAAGUUAUAGCGACGACCCUCCAUCUUUACAAUCUGAAGGUGUUGAACUGGGAUGUUCCUGCAGUACUGUAAUGGGAGUGUUGGGGAGGGUGAGUAAGUAACACUGUCAGAACAGAAAGUCUCCUCAAGCUAUGAAGAGCUUGACGGGUUUAAUAUUGGUCCUGUAGUUUGUGGGGAUCAUGUUUCUAUGCGCAGCUGUAAAAUGGC